rnacentral:tRNA from 1 species
GGAAGAGUGGCAGAGUGGUCAAAAGCAAUAAACUAUAAAUCUGUUGAAGUUUUUCUACAUAGGUUUGAAUCAUUCCUCUCCCA